UAGGGAAUAUUGCACAAUGGGCGAAAGCCUGAUGCAGCAACGCCGCGUGCGCGAAGAAGGUCUUCGGAUCGUAAAGCGCUUUUCUGGGAGAUGAGAAAGGACAGUAUCCCAGGAAUAAGUCUCGGCUAACUACGUGCCAGCAGCCGCGGUAAAACGUAGGAGGCGAGCGUUAUCCGGAUUCACUGGGCGUAAAGCGCGUGCAGGCGGUUUGGUAAGUUGGGCGUGAAAGCUCCCGGCUCAACUGGGAGAGGUCGUCCAAAACUGCCAGACUAGAGAGCGAUAGAGGAAAAUGGAAUUCCCGGUGUAGUGGUGAAAUGCGUAGAUAUCGGGAGGAACACCAGUGGCGAAGGCGAUUUUCUGGAUCGUUUCUGACGCUCAGACGCGAAAGCUAGGGUAGCAA
rnacentral:rRNA from 1 species